rnacentral:rRNA from 1 species
UACGGGGGGAGCAAGCGUUGUUCGGAUUUACUGGGCGUAAAGGGCGCGUAGGCGGCACCGCAAGUCGACUGUGAAAUCUCCGGGCUUAACCCGGAAAGGUCAGCCGAUACUGCGGGGCUAGGGUGCAGAAGGGGCAACUGGAAUUCUCGGUGUAGCGGUGAAAUGCGUAGAUAUCGAGAGGAACACCAGUGGCGAAGGCGACUACCUGGCCCAUUCUUGACGCUGAGGCGCGAAAGCUAGGGGAGCGAACGGG